GGCUCUUGAUACCGCUCGACCCUGGUAGAUGGCAGCCCAAUCUCGAGUGGAAUCAUCGCCUCCGUCCCAUAGGCCAAACCGAAAGGCGACUCCCCGAUCGGAACGUGGGGGGUCAUUCGGUAAGCCCACAGAAUGGAGCCUAGCUCGUCGACCCAGAGGCCUUUGGCUUCAUUUAGUCGGGUUUUGAGUCCGUGUAGUAUGGUCCGGUUGGUCACCUCGACUUCGUCGUUGGACUGUGGGUGCCC
rnacentral:lncRNA from 1 species